rnacentral:rRNA from 1 species
CCUACGGGAGGCAGCAGUGAGGAAUAUUGGUCAAUGGACGAGAGUCUGAACCAGCCAAGUAGCGUGAAGGAUGACUGCCCUAUGGGUUGUAAACUUCUUUUAUAUGGGAAUAAAACGUUCCACGUGUGGGAUUUUGUAUAUACCAUAUGAAUAAGGAUCGGCUAACUCCGUGCCAGCAGCCGCGGUAAUACGGAGGAUCCGAGCGUUAUCCGGAUUUAUUGGGUUUAAAGGGAGCGUAGGUGGAUUGUUAAGUCAGUUGUGAAAGUUUGCGGCUCAACCGUAAAAUUGCAGUUGAAACUGGCAGUCUUGAGUACAGUAGAGGUGGGCGGAAUUCGUGGUGUAGCGGUGAAAUGCUUAGAUAGCACGAAGAACUCCGAUUGCGAAGGCAGUUCACUGGACUGCAACUGACACUGAGGCUCGAAAGUGUGGGUAUCAAACAGGAUUAGAUACCCCUGUAGUC